UGAUCAUGGCUCAGGAUGAACGCUGGCGGCGUGCCUAAUACAUGCAAGUCGAGCGAACGGACGAGAAGCUUGCUUCUCUGAUGUUAGCGGCGGACGGGUGAGUAACACGUGGAUAACCUACCUAUAAGACUGGGAUAACUUCGGGAAACCGGAGCUAAUACCGGAUAAUAUUUUGAACCGCAUGGUUCAAAAGUGAAAGACGGUCUUGCUGUCACUUAUAGAUGGAUCCGCGCUGCAUUAGCUAGUUGGUAAGGUAACGGCUUACCAAGGCAACGAUGCAUAGCCGACCUGAGAGGGUGAUCGGCCACACUGGAACUGAGACACGGUCCAGACUCCUACGGGAGGCAGCAGUAGGGAAUCUUCCGCAAUGGGCGAAAGCCUGACGGAGCAACGCCGCGUGAGUGAUGAAGGUCUUCGGAUCGUAAAACUCUGUUAUUAGGGAAGAACAUAUGUGUAAGUAACUGUGCACAU
rnacentral:rRNA from 1 species